UACGAAGGGGGCUAGCGUUGUUCGGAAUUAUUGGGCGUAAAGAGCGCGUAGGCGGUCCGAUAAGUCGGCUGUGAAAGUCCAGGGCUCAACCCUGGAAAGCCGGCCGAUACUGUCGGACUAGAGUCCGGAAGAGGCAAGUGGAAUUCCCGGUGUAGCGGUGAAAUGCGCAGAUAUCGGGAGGAACACCGGUGGCGAAGGCGGUUCUCUGGGCCUGUACUGACGCUGAGGAGCGAAAGCGUGGGGAGCGAACAGG
rnacentral:rRNA from 1 species